CCUACGGGUGGCAGCAGUGAGGAAUAUUGGUCAAUGGACGAGAGUCUGAACCAGCCAAGUAGCGUGAAGGAUGACUGCCCUAUGGGUUGUAAACUUCUUUUAUAUGGGAAUAAAAUGUUCCACGUGUGGGAUUUUGUAUGUACCAUAUGAAUAAGGAUCGGCUAACUCCGUGCCAGCAGCCGCGGUAAUACGGAGGAUCCGAGCGUUAUCCGGAUUUAUUGGGUUUAAAGGGAGCGUAGGUGGAUUGUUAAGUCAGUUGUGAAAGUUUGCGGCUCAACCGUAAAAUUGCAGUUGAAACUGGCAGUCUUGAGUACAGUAGAGGUGGGCGGAAUUCGUGGUGGAGCGGUGAAAUGCUUAGAUAUCACGAAGAACGCCGAUUGCGAAGGCAGUUCACUGGACUGCAACUGACACUGAGGCUCGAAAGUGUGGGUAUCAAACAGGAUUAGAUACCCCAGUAGUC
rnacentral:rRNA from 1 species